CGUUGUGUUUAAGGACAACACCUGACUCAUCUCUUCAGGUUGCCCUUUGUCAUUGAGACCUUCACAGAAGUUUGCUUUUUAACAUGAUAAUCUCAGAAGAUCAUCUUUUGGGCAGAAAUUGUGAAGUUGCUGUGAGGAAAGGACUGCAGAGAGGGAAUGGUUGUCUCCGGGUGGAAGUAAUGUAACAAUCUGACUGCUGAUUUGCCCUAGCCCGGUCUCCCUGUCCUGGCCAACAGACAUCCUGAUGGAACACUGAAGACAAGAUUUCUCUCCUGGAAUUGAAUUACCAUCCAAGGGCCCAGAUGUCAAGGUGUUAGUGCCCCCCACACAGUGCUUGCUUUGCACUCCUCAUCCCCUUCCUCCUUCUUGUGAAUUAGAGAGCCUGGCUACAGGCUCUUGCUUUAAACUUUCCCAUCCUAAAAAGACCAGGCUCCUAUCUCUUCCACUGGGUCUGAUUCUCUUCAGGGACCCUCUACAUGCUCCCUGUUUCUGAUGAUGGGCAUAAACUCCCUUCAGAGCCUCUACUAUACUGUUGGCUCUC